GACGAACGCUGGCGGCGUGCCUAAUACAUGCAAGUCGAACGAAGCUUUUUUAACUGGUGCUUGCACCGACUUAAACAACUGAGUGGCGAACGGGUGAGUAACACAUGGGUAACCUGCCCCAAAGCGGGGGAUAACAUUUGGAAACAGAUGCUAAUACCGCAUAACCACAGAAACCACAUGGUUUCUGUGUCAAAGAUGGUUUCGGCUAUCACUUUGGGAUGGACCCGCGGCGUAUUAGCUAGUUGGUAAGGUAAUGGCUUACCAAGGCAAUGAUACGUAACCGAACUGAGAGGUUGAUCGGCCACAUUGGGACUGAGACACGGCCCAAACUCCUACGGGAGGCAGCAGUAGGGAAUCUUCCACAAUGGACGAAAGUCUGAUGGAGCAACGCCGCGUGAGUGAAGAAGGUUUUCGGAUCGUAAAACUCUGUUGUCAGAGAAGAACGUGUGCGAGAGUAACUGUUCGUGCAGUGACGGUAUCUGGCCAGAAAGCCACGGCUAACUACGUGCCAGCCGCCGCCGUAA
rnacentral:rRNA from 1 species